GACGAACGCUGGCGGCGUGCUUAACACAUGCAAGUCGAACGGGAACCUUUAUUUCGGUAAAGGAGAGAGUGGCAAACGGGUGAGUAACACGUAGGCAACCUGCCGACAGGAUGGGGACAACAUUCCGAAAGGAAUGCUAAUACCGAAUGGAGUCCGAGGAUGGCAUCAUCCUUGGAUCAAAGAUGGCCUCUUAACAAUGCUAUCGCCUGUCGAUGGGCCUGCGUCUGAUUAGCCAGUUGGCGGGGUAACGGCCCACCAAAGCGACGAUCAGUAGCCGGUCUGAGAGGAUGAACGGCCACAUUGGGACUGAGACACGGCCCAGACUCCUACGGGAGGCAGCAGUGGGGAAUCUUCCACAAUGGGCGAAAGCCUGAUGGAGCAACGCCGCGUGAGUGAAGAAGGUCUUUCGGAUCGUAAAAGCUCUGUUGCACGGG
rnacentral:rRNA from 1 species